rnacentral:rRNA from 1 species
UAAUACGGGGGGGGCAAGCGUUAUUCGGAUUUACUGGGCGUAAAGCGCACGUAGGUGGCAAUGUAAGUCACAGGUGAAAGCCCUCGGCUCAACCGAGGAACUGCCUGCGAAACUGCAUUGCUUGAGUCCGGGAGGGGGGAGCGGAAUUCCCAGUGUAGCGGUGAAAUGCGUAGAUACUUGGAGGAACACCGGUGGCGAAGGCGGCUCCCUGGACCGGUACUGACACUGAGGUGCGAAAGCGUGGGUAGCAAACAGGAUUAGAUACCCUGGUAGUCCACGCCGUAAACGAUGGGCACUAGGUGCAGCGGGUGUCGACCCCUGCUGUGCCGGAGUUAACGCAUUAAGUGCCCCGCCUGGGGAGUACGGUCGCAAGGCUG